rnacentral:rRNA from 1 species
CCUACGGGAGGCAGCAGUGGGGAAUAUUGCACAAUGGGCGCAAGCCUGAUGCAGCCAUGCCGCGUGUGUGAAGAAGGCCUUCGGGUUGUAAAGCACUUUCAGCGGGGAGGAAGGCGGUGAGGUUAAUAACCUCAUCGAUUGACGUUACCCGCAGAAGAAGCACCGGCUAACUCCGUGCCAGCAGCCGCGGUAAUACGGAGGGUGCAAGCGUUAAUCGGAAUUACUGGGCGUAGAGCGCACGCAGGCGGUCUGUCAAGUCGGAUGUGAAAUCCCCGGGCUCAACCUGGGAACUGCAUUCGAAACUGGCAGGCUAGAGUCUUGUAGAGGGGGGUAGAAUUCCAGGUGUAGCGGUGAAAUGCGUAGAGAUCUGGAGGAAUACCGGUGGCGAAGGCGGCCCCCUGGACAAAGACUGACGCUCAGGUGCGAAAGCGUGGGGAGCAAACAGGAUUAGAUACCCCUGUAGUC